rnacentral:rRNA from 1 species
UACAGAGGUCCCGAGCGUUGUUCGGAUUCAUUGGGCGUAAAGGGUGCGUAGGCGGCGGGGCAAGUCUGAUGUGAAAUCCCGGGGCUCAACCCCCGGAACUGCAUUGGAUACUGCCUUGCUUGAGUACUGGAGAGGAGACUGGAAUUUACGGUGUAGCAGUGAAAUGCGUAGAGAUCGUAAGGAAGGCCAGUGGCGAAGGCGAGUCUCUGGACAGUAAACUGACGCUGAGGCACGAAGGCCCAGGGGGAGCAAAACGGGG